rnacentral:rRNA from 1 species
AAUGAGCAUGUGCACGUCUUUUGCUGCUUGCUUCAUUCUCUUCUCCACCUGUGCACUCUUUGUAGACACUCGGGAUGUGAGAGAGGUUAGCAUUGAUUGUUGACCUCUCUUGAUAUUGAAAAGUCUGGGUGUUUAUGUAUUUUUUGACAUACACGGUUGAAUGUCUAUAGAAUGAAAAUGUAGGCUUUUGUCAGCCUUUAAAUGAUAAAAUACAACUUUCAACAACGGAUCUCUUGGCUCUCGCAUCGAUGAAGAACGCAGCGAAAUGCGAUAAGUAAUGUGAAUUGCAGAAUUCAGUGAAUCAUCGAAUCUUUGAACGCAUCUUGCGCUCCUUGGUAUUCCGAGGAGCAUGCCUGUUUGAGUGUCAUUAAAUAUCUCAAAAAGCUUGUGCUUUUUUUGGCACAGGAGUUUUGGACAUUGGGAGUUGCCGGCUGCUGGAUAACAGUGGUGGGCUCUUCUGAAAAGCAUUAGUUGAGGAGCUUUGCACUCUAUUGGUGUGAUAGACUAUCUAUGCCAGGAGACGCUUCAUGAUCCUCUGCCAUCUAACCGUCUUUAUAAGACAAUAUGAUAAACUUGACCUC